GGGGCUGUAGCUCAGUGGUAAAGUGCUUGCCUCGAAAGUGUGAGGCACUGGGUUCGAUCCUCAGCACCA
rfam:Ictidomys tridecemlineatus contig020844, whole genome shotgun sequence.